UAUAAUGGAUCUUCAUCCAGUUAUUCUGCUCUGUGUCUCAGCUGCUGCUGUCUUUGGAAAUGUCAUCAAACCAGACCAACCAGAAGUUUUUGCUGAGGAGGCUUCAGAUAUUACAUUGUCCUGUAAUUUUUCUGACUCUGGAACUACAGAUAAUCUCCACUGGUACCGUCAGUAUGGAAGAUCAAAACCUGAAUUUCUUGUACUCACCUACAGCAGUGCAAAGGAAGCUCAGCGGUCUGAUGUAGAUCCAAGAUUCACUGUUAAAGUUGAAAAAAGGGAACAUGUGGAUCUGAAGAUCUCCUCUGCUGCUGUAUCAGACUCUGCUCUGUACUACUGUGCUCUGCAGCCCACAGUGACAGGAAACACAUCAGCUCUCUACAAAAACCUGUUACAAUGA